rnacentral:rRNA from 1 species
UACGUAGGGGGCUAGCGUUGUCCGGAUUUAUUGGGCGUAAAGAGCGUGUAGGCGGCCAGGUAGGUCUGGUGUGAAAACUCGAGGCUUAACCUUGAGAUGUCAUCGGAAACCAUCUGACUAGAGUCCGGAAGAGGAGAGUGGAAUUCCUGGUGUAGCGGUGAAAUGCGCAGAUAUCAGGAAGAACACCCGUGGCUAAGGCGGCUCUCUAGUACGUGACUGACGCUGAGACGCGAAAGCGUGGGGAGCGAACAGG